rnacentral:rRNA from 1 species
UACGUAGGCAGCGAGCGUUGUUCGGAAUUACUGGGCGUAAAGAGUGUGUAGGCGGUGCUCCCAGUCUGUUGUGAAAUCUCCCGGCUUAACUGGGAGGGUGCAGCGGAAACUAGAGUGCUAGAGGGUGGGAGAGGUAAGCGGAAUUCCUGGUGUAGCGGUGAAAUGCGUAGAUAUCUGGAGGAAUACCGGUGGCGAAGGCGGCAUCCUGGACCGGCAUUGACGCUGAGUGAGCGAAAGCCAGGGGAGCAAACGGG